CGGGUCGUAAAGUUCUGUUGUUAGGGAAGAACAAGUACCAGAGUAACUGCUGGUACCUUGACGGUACCUAACCAGAAAGCCACGGCUAACUACGUGCCAGCAGCCGCGGUAAUACGUAGGUGGCAAGCGUUGUCCGGAAUUAUUGGGCGUAAAGCGCUCGCAGGCGGUUUCUUAAGUCUGAUGUGAAAGCCCACGGCUCAACCGUGGAGGGUCAUUGGAAACUGGGGAACUUGAGUGCAGAAGAGGAGAGCGGAAUUCCACGUGUAGCGGUGAAAUGCGUAGAGAUGUGGAGGAACACCAGUGGCGAAGGCGACUCUCUGGUCUGUAACUGACGCUGAGGAGCGAAAGCGUGGGGAGCGAACAGGAUUAGAUACCCUGGUAGUCCACGCCGUAAACGAUGAGUGCUAAGUGUUAGAGGGUUUCCGCCCUUUAGUGCUGCAGCAAACGCAUUAAGCACUCCGCCUGGGGAGUACGGUCGCAAGACUGAAACUCAAAGGAAUUGACGGGGGCCCGCACAGCGGUGGAGCAUGUGGUUUAAUUGAAGCACCUUACCAGGUCUUGACAUCCUUCGCUACUUCUAGAGAUAGAAGG
rnacentral:rRNA from 1 species